UGAGGAGAGUUUAAGAGUCAGGCACCGGAAUUUUCUUAUUCUUAUUCGAUCUCAUCACUACUGUUUACGUCGGAACCGGUGCCCUAUUGGUACCGCGUUUCGGUACCCAACCUUUA